CUUCAAAUCCCUAGCCUUCCUUCCCUCUUUUCUUCACGCGUGAGGUUGUCGGCCCCAAAGAGCCCGACGCUCAGGCCACAACACAGGGGUGGAUAUUACCUUCGGUUAACGAUCAACGACGGACGGGAAGCCCCUCACCAGCAGACCCCGAUUAAACCGACCUGACCUCUUCCUCUCCUCCCUGUCCAAGGAAGCAACUACGUGAUCGACCACCACGAACGGUGGCGCCACAGCCUAAACCCACACCGUCUAAACGUGACCCCCUCCCUGACGACGCUAUUGCCCCGACGAAACCCCGGCAGUAAGGGCAUGGGCGAGGCAUGGCGUUGGCGUGGGGUGCUGUGGAGUAGGGCAUGGGCAUAGCUGGGUUGGUGGUGGCUUCGGGUCGGAUCUCGGGUUUGCUGUAAUAUGGGUUUGUGUGUUGGACUUCAUGUAAUGGGCUUCGGGUUUAGGCCUACAACAAAAAUAAUAUAAUUAGAAAUAAUAAUAUUAAUAAUAACAUUUUUUCGACCCGGACAAAAA